AAAAAUCAAGCAGAAUGCAAAGAGAAACAGUCUGAAGGUAAAAUGACUGUGGAAAAUACAUAUAAGGGGCAGAAAAAGAGAGGUCCUUGGAACUCGAGGGAGCUGUGCUCAUAUUCAGGGGAUCCGUCUCAUUCCGAGAGUUAUUGCACUCCAAGCAAAUGGAGUCCCACAAGACUUCACAAGGAAAGUCCCCAGCCAGGGAGGGAUCUGAGAUGGAGCUGAG